GAUGGCUCACCGCUCGGCUCCGCAUUGAGGAGGUGGGAGGAGCGACGAUGCGCACAGGAAAUCCGAUAGAUGGGCAGAAGAAAGUUCAAGAGGAAUUUGAUAUCGAUAUGGAUGCACCAGAGACAUAACGUGCAGCUAUGGCCAUUCAGUCUCAGUUCAGAAAAUUCCAGAAGGAAAAGGCUGGGUCUCAGUCCUAGUGGGAGAGCCCCUCCCUAGCUCACCUGAAGACACCCAAUUCAACCAUCAUCUGUCAAGAAAUUAAAAGAACAACACCUAAAGAUAAGUUAUCCACACACGAUACACUCACAUGCAGCAAACCUAAAAUGCAUGUACAGAAGCCCAUGAUAUUUAUAUCCUCGUAGGAAGUUGUAGACAGUGAAAUUGUGUGUAGCUUAAUCUCCCUGUUUAGCUCCUUUAUCUUUCCUCCUGCAACCAUCUUCCUUGAUGUUGUAGUAAAAUGGAGUUGAGAUGAGGGA